rnacentral:rRNA from 1 species
AUUGGACGCUGGCGGCAGGCCUAACACAUGCAAGUCGGACGGUAGCACAGAGGAGCUUGCUCCUCGGGUGACGAGUGGCGGACGGGUGAGUAAUGUCUGGGGAUCUGCCCGAUAGAGGGGGAUAACCACUGGAAACGGUGGCUAAUACCGCAUAACGUCGCAAGACCAAAGAGGGGGACCUUCGGGCCUCUCACUAUCGGAUGAACCCAGAUGGGAUUAGCUAGUAGGCGGGGUAACGGCCCACCUAGGCGACGAUCCCUAGCUGGUCUGAGAGGAUGACCAGCCACACUGGAACUGAGACACGGUCCAGACUCCUACGGGAGGCAGCAGUGGGGAAUAUUGCACAAUGGGCGCAAGCCUGAUGCAGCCAUGCCGCGUGUAUGAAGAAGGCCUUCGGGUUGUAAAGUACUUUCAGCGGGGAGGAAGGCGAUGUGGUUAAUAACCGCGUCGAUUGACGUUACCCGCAGAAGAAGCACCAGCUAACUCCGUGCCAGCCGCCGCGGUAA